rnacentral:rRNA from 1 species
UGCGGCUUAAUUUGACUCAACACGGGAAACCUCACCCGGCCCGGACACGGACAGGAUUGACAGAUUGAUAGCUCUUUCUCGAUUCCGUGGGUGGUGGUGCAUGGCCGUUCUUAGUUGGUGGAGCGAUUUGUCUGGUUAAUUCCGAUAACGAACGAGACUCUGGCAUGCUAACUAGUUACGCGACCCCCGAGCGGUCGGCGUCCCCCAACUUCUUAGAGGGACAAGUGGCGUUCAGCCACCCGAGAUUGAGCAAUAACAGGUCUGUGAUGCCCUUAGAUGUCCGGGGCUGCACGCGCGCUACACUGACUGGCUCAGCGUGUGCCUACCCUACGCCGGCAGGCGCGGGUAACCCGUUGAACCCCAUUCGUGAUGGGGAUCGGGGAUUGCAAUUAUUCCCCAUGAACG